CAAGUAGAUUUUAAUUUCAUUUUAAUUGUUUUAGGCGAAAAUAUUAAAAAUGUAAGGAAGGAAUACAAUUAUGUGGCGAAAAUACCAAAAAUAUAAUGAAGGAAUACGAUUACGUGGCGAAAAUACCAAAAAUGCAAGGAAGGAAUACCAUUUAGUGGUAAG